rnacentral:rRNA from 2 species
GCGCUGGCGGCGUGUCUANUACAUGCAAGUCGAGCGGGUAAGGUAGCAAUACCUUGCUAGANNNGGACGGGUGAGUAACGCGUGAACAAUCUAUCCCAGACAGGGGGAUAACGUUUGGAAACAGACGCUAAUACCGCGUAAGACCACGACAGGACAUCCUGUUGAGGUAAAAGGAGAAAUCCGGUUUGGGGUGAGUUCGCGUCCCAUUAGAUAGUUGGUGAGGUAAAGGCUCACCAAGUCGACGAUGGGUAGCCGAUCUGAGAGGAUGACCGGCCACACUGGAACUGAGAAACGGUCCAGACUCCUACGGGAGGCAGCAGUAGGGAAUAUUGGGCAAUGGGGGAAACCCUGACCCAGCGACGCCGCGUGAGGGAAGAAGGCCUUCGGGUUGUAAACCUCUGUCCCAUGUGAAGAGAAGAAGACGGUAGCAUGGGAGGAAGCCCCGGCUAACUACGUGCCAGCAGCCGCGGUAAUACGUAGGGGGCGAGCGUUGUCCGGAAUGACUGGGCGUAAAGGGCGUGUAGGUGGCCUUAUAAGUCUUGAGUGAAAGUCCCGAAUUCAAAGCGGGAAUUGCUUGGGAGACUGUAGGGCUUGAGUGUGGGAGAGGAUAGCGGAAUUCCCGGUGUAGCGGUGAAAUGCGUAGAGAUCGGGAGGAACACCAGUGGCGAAGGCGGCUAUCUGGACCAAGACUGACACUGAGGCGCGAAAGCGUGGGUAGCAAACAGGAUUAGAUACCCCUGGUAGUCCACGCUGUAAACGAUGGAUGCUAGGUGUAGGCAGGUAUCGACCCCUUCUGUGCCGGAGUGAACGCAAUAAGCAUCCCGCCUGGGGAGUACGGCCGCAAGGUUGAAACUCAAAAGGAAUUGACGGGGGCUCCGCACAAGCAGCGGAGCAUGUGGGUUAUUCCGACGCAACGUGAAGAAUCUUACCAGGUCUUGACAUUGAUCUAAACUCUUGACAAUUGAGGUGCCGAAAGGCCUAUAUAAACAGGUGGUGCUGGNNGCGUCAGCUCGUGUCUGAGAUGGUUGGGUUAAAUCCCGUAACGAGCGCCACCCUUGUUCUUU